rnacentral:rRNA from 1 species
GACAAACGCUGGCGGAAUGUAUUAGGCAUGCAAGUCGCACGAACCUUCGGGUUAGUGGCGGACGGGUGAGUAACACGUGGGUAACCUGCCUCGUAGUGGGGAAUAACUCGCCGAAAGGCGAGCUAAUACCGCAUAUAACUCCUGGUGAGAAUCCGGGAAGUAAAGGCUCCGGCGCUACGAGAGGGGCCCGCGGCCGAUUAGCUUGUUGGUGGGGUAAUGGCCUACCAAGGCGACGAUCGGUAACUGGUCUGAGAGGAUGGUCAGCCACACGGGGACUGAGAUACGGCCCCGACUCCUACGGAGGCAGCAGCUAAGAAAUCUUGCGCAAUAGGGCGGAAAGACCUGACGCAGCAA